rnacentral:lncRNA from 1 species
GCCCGGAUGAGCCUGCUGGGGAAGCCGCUGUCCUACUCGAGCGGCCAGAGCUGCCGGCGCAACGCCAAGUACCGGCGCGUGCAGAACUACCUGUACAACGUGCUGGAGCGGCCGCGUGGCUGGGCGUUCGUGUACCACGCGUUCGUGUACUUUCUGUGCUGUACUGUAACCCUGAUUGAAAGCAAGCUGAAGCUAAGAUGACCCUGGAUGGAGAAAAAGAUAUGUGGAGAAAUAAAUCAAAAAGCAGUGGGUGUUGUUACUCAUUUGGCUUAUGUACUUUUCAACAAGCAAUCAGACUCCUACCAGGAUAUUUUGGAAGAGAAAGAACACAAUUCUGUAAGAAUUUGCAAAUAUUACAUAUAUUGUUUUUAUUAAGUUGCAUCUAUAUUUUGACCAAUUCCAAAAUAGUAAAUAAUUGAAAUAUACUAUUGAUCAGCUUACCUUUUAAAAAUUUCUCUAAAAAUAAAUCAAGCAUAGAAAACAU